GUUGUAUAGUUAAGUGACUAAGCGUACACGGUGGAUGCCUAGGCGGUAGAAGGCGAUGAAGGACGUAGUAACUUGCGAUAAGCCACGGGGAGUUAGUAAACAAGCUUUGAUCCGUGGAUUUCCGAAUGGGAAAACCCAUCCUUUAUGGAUAUCCCUUUAUGGGAGGCUAACCUGGAGAACUGAAACAUCUAAGUACCCAGAGGAAAAGAAAUCAACCGAGAUUCCCCAAGUAGCGGCGAGCGAACGGGGACCAGCCCUAAAGCAUUUAUUAAGAUAGCAGAACACUCUGGAAAGUGUGACGAUACAAGGUGAUAGUCCUGUAUGCGAAAUCUUAUUAAGUGUUAUUCGAGUAGGACGGAACACGUGAAAUUCUGUUUGAACAUGGGGGGACCACCCUCCAAGGCUAAAUACUCUCUACCGACCGAUAGUGAACCAGUACCGUGAGGGAAAGGCGAAAAGAACCCCUGAAGGGGAGUGAAAUAGAACCUGAAACCGUGUACGUACAAGCAGUAGGAGCCCACUUGUUGGGUGACUGCGUACCUUUUGUAUAAUGGGUCAGCGACUUACGUUAUGUUGCGAGGUUAACCGAAUAGGGGAGCCGAAGGGAAACCGAGUCUUAAAUGGGCGUUUAGUAGCAUGGCGUAGACCCGAAACCGGGCGAUCUAUCCAUGGCCAGGUUGAAGGUGCCGUAACAGGUACUGGAGGACCGAACCCACGUAUGUUGAAAAAUGCGGGGAUGAGCUGUGGAUCGGAGUGAAAGGCUAAUCAAGCCCGGAGAUAGCUGGUUCUCCUCGAAAUCUAUUUAGGUAGAGCCUCAUGUCUCACUGUUGGGGGUAGAGCACUGUUAUGGUCUAGCGGGCCGUCAAGGCUUAGCAGCCCAUUGCAAACUCCGAAUACCAACAAGUGCAAUCAUGGGAGACAGACAGCGGGUGCUAACGUCCGUUGUCAAGAGGGAAACAACCCAGACCACCAGCUAAGGUCCCUAAACACUACUCAGUGGGAAAGGAUGUGGGAAGGCUUAGACAGUCAGGAGGUUGGCUUAGAAGCAGCCACCCUUUAAAGAAAGCGUAAUAGCUCACUGAUCGAGUCGGCCUGCGCCGAAGAUUUAACGGGGCUAAGUAGUGUACCGAAGCUGUGGAUGCCAUUUAUGGCAUGGUAGAGGAGCGUCGUGUAAGCCUGCGAAGGGGUGUUGUAAAGCAUCCUGGAGGUAUCACGAGUGCGAAUGCUGACAUGAGUAGCGAUAAAGGGAGUGAAAAGCUCCCUCGCCGAAAGACCAAGGUUUCCUACGCAACGUUAAUCGACGUAGGGUUAGUCGACCCCUAAGACGAGGCCGAGAGGCGUAGUCGAUGGGAAGCAGGUUAAUAUUCCUGCACUUUUUAUAACUGCGAUGGAGGGACGGAGAAGGCUAAACUAGCUUGCUGAUGGUUGCAAGUUUAAGGUAGUAGGCAGAGAUCUUAGGCAAAUCCGGGAUCUUAAUGCUGAGAACUGAUGACGAGUCCUCUUUUGGACGAAGUAGUUGAUGCCAUGCUUCCAAGAAAAGCUUCUAAGCUUCAGGUUAUAAAGAAUCGUACCCCAAACCAACACAGGUGGUCAGGAUGAGAAUUCCAAGGCGCUUGAGAGAACUCGGGUGAAGGAACUAGGCAAAAUAACACCGUAACUUCGGGAGAAGGUGUGCCCCUGCCGGUGAUGAGAUUUACUCUCUAAGCUAGUGGGGGUUGCAGAGACCAGGUGGCUGCAACUGUUUACUAAAAACAUAGCACUGUGCAAAAUCGAAAGAUGACGUAUACGGUGUGACGCCUGCCCGGUGCCGGAAGGUUAAUUGAUGGGGUUAGC
rnacentral:rRNA from 1 species